GGCCAUAGCUCAGUGUAAGAGCUCCUGCCUCACACGCAGAAGGUCCCAGGUUCAGUCCCCAGAAUCUCCA